UACAGAGGGUGCAAGCGUUGUUUGGAAUUAUUGGGCGUAAAGCGCGUGUAGGCGGCUUUGCAAGUCGGGUGUGAAAGCCCUCAGCUCAACUGAGGAAGUGCGCCCGAAACUGCAGAGCUUGAGUACCGGAGAGGAUGGUGGAAUUCCCCAAGUAGAGGUGAAAUUCGUAGAUAUGGGGAGGAACACCGGUGGCGAAGGCGACCAUCUGGACGGAUACUGACGCUGAGACGCGAAAGCGUGGGUAGCAAACAGG
rnacentral:rRNA from 1 species